rnacentral:tRNA from 1 species
AGUAUUACGUGGGGGAUGAUCCAGUUACUUUGAUGUAGUAAAGUGCAAGAGUUAUUUCUUUAAUGCUU